UGAUCCUGGCUCAGGAUGAACGCUAGCGGCAGGCUUAACACAUGCAAGUCGAGGGGUAACAUUGUAGCUUGCUACAGAUGACGACCGGCGCACGGGUGCGUAACGCGUAUAGAACUUACCUUUUACAGAGGGAUAGCCUUUAGAAAUGAAGAUUAAUACCUCAUAGUAUUAUUGAUUGGCAUCAAUUAAUAAUUAAAGAUUUAUCGGUAAAAGAUGGCUAUGCGUCCUAUUAGCUAGAUGGUAAGGUAAUGGCUUACCAUGGCUACGAUAGGUAGGGGCCCUGAGAGGGGGAUCCCCCACAUUGGUACUGAGACACGGACCAGACUCCUACGGGAGGCAGCAGUGAGGAAUAUUGGGCAAUGGAGGUAACUCUGACCCAGCCAUGCCGCGUGCAGGAAGACUGCCCUAUGGGUUGUAAACUGCUUUUAUACAGGAAGAAACACUCGUACGUGUACGAGCUUGACGGUACUGUAAGAAUAAGGACCGGCUAACUCCGUGCCAGCAGCCGCGGUAAUACGGAGGGUCCGAGCGUUAUCCGGAAUCAUUGGGUUUAAAGGGUCCGCAGGCGGUCAAUUAAGUCAGAGGUGAAAUCCCAUAGCUUAACUAUGGAACUGCCUUUGAUACUGGUUGACUUGAGUCAUAUGGAAGUAGAUAGAAUGUGUAGUGUAGCGGUGAAAUGCAUAGAUAUUACACAGAAUACCGAUUGCGAAGGCAGUCUACUACGUAUGUACUGACGCUCAUGGACGAAAGCGUGGGGAGCGAACAGGAUUAGAUACCCUGGUAGU
rnacentral:rRNA from 1 species